GUGCUCGCUUUGGCAGCACAUAUACUAAAAUUGGAACAUACAGAGAAGAUUAGCAUGGCCCCUGCGCAAGGCUGACACGCAAAUUCGUGAAGCAUUCCAUAUUUUU
ensembl:snRNA U6 U6 spliceosomal RNA